UAGGGAAUCUUCGGCAAUGGACGAAAGUCUGACCGAGCAACGCCGCGUGAGUGAAGAAGGUUUUCGGAUCGUAAAACUCUGUUGUUAGAGAAGAACAAGGACGUUAGUAACUGAACGUCCCCUGACGGUAUCUAACCAGAAAGCCACGGCUAACUACGUGCCAGCAGCCGCGGUAAUACGUAGGUGGCAAGCGUUGUCCGGAUUUAUUGGGCGUAAAGCGAGCGCAGGCGGUUUCUUAAGUCUGAUGUGAAAGCCCCCGGCUCAACCGGGGAGGGUCAUUGGAAACUGGGAGACUUGAGUGCAGAAGAGGAGGGUGGAAUUCCAUGUGUAGCGGUGAAAUGCGUAAAUAUAUGGAGGAACACCAGUGGCGAAGGCGGCUCUCUGGUCUGUAACUGACGCUGAGGCUCGAAAGCGUGGGGAGCAAACAGG
rnacentral:rRNA from 1 species